CCGAGGGAAAGGAUAUUUAACCCCUUGGUCGUCCACGAACUGGCCCGUUGGGCUAUGGAUUCUCGAUUGUAGUGAUAUUUUCACUGUUCGGUCUUGCUGCUGUUGACGACAGGUCAAUCCAGAUCCGCUGACUUGGUCCAGGGAAAGUGGGACGUCGCCCGUAAACCCCUAGCACCCAAGUCGGUGCGGAUCGUGGCCACUGACAUCUCCAGCCGCAACGUACUAGGUGUAAUAUAUUAGAUAUAGGAGAAGUGAAAAAGAAAAUAGUUUAAAUAAAGCUUUUGUUCGGGGCUUUCCCCUAU